AUUCACUCCGGAACUAAAAGUGCGCAUGCGCAAAAACAUCAAACCCGAUCAUAAUUACCCAAGUCAACAUGGCGGCGUCCAUGAAUAGAAGAAAGCUCAAUCAAUCAAUGUGCGCUCUUCUUAAACUGAUCGGUAAAUGGUCAGCUUGGAUUCCAGCAGAGGGUGAGAGUGCCACUAUCAAUGAUUUGGGAGGAGGAUCAAAUUGAAGACAAAAGAUGAAGCACUCAGAAAUGGACCUAUAACUUGUGCAUUAAGUCC